AUUUAUAUAAUAUAUAUAGUAUAUUUGACUUCCAAUCAAAAAGUUUAAUCCUUAUUAAUAUAAAUA
rnacentral:tRNA from 1 species